rnacentral:rRNA from 1 species
AACGAACGCUGGCGGCAUGCCUAACACAUGCAAGUCGAACGAGACCUUCGGGUCUAGUGGCGCACGGGUGCGUAACGCGUGGGAACCUGCCCUUAGGUUCGGAAUAACUCACCGAAAGGGGUGCUAAUACCGGAUAAUGUCUUCGGACCAAAGAUUUAUCGCCUUUGGAUGGGCCCGCGUUGGAUUAGCUAGUUGGUAGGGUAAAAGCCUACCAAGGCGACGAUCCAUAGCUGGUCUGAGAGGAUGAUCAGCCACACUGGGACUGAGACACGGCCCAGACUCCUACGGAAGGCAGCAGUGGGGAAUAUUGGACAAUGGGCGAAAGCCUGAUCCAGCAAUGCCGCGUGAGUGAUGAAGGCCUUAGGGUUGUAAAGCUCUUUUACCCGGGAUGAUAAUGACAGUACCGGGAGAAUAAGCUCCGGCUAACUCCGUG